AGUGUCGCGACGGACGCGAAAAUCCGAUGCCACAAUACUAAUUCACCUGCGGCAACACCGAACAGCGCCCUCUAUGUGGAACUGUGAUCUCGGGUGUCAUACAUUCAGCCGCCUUAAGAUAAGCGAAGCAGAUUAAGGCUCCUCUGGCCCAGGAGUUGAGGUGCAGAGAGAGUGAGGAUGAAGAGUCCCUUAUGGGAUAUGAAGGUAUGUAUGCGAUGCAUUCUAUACCCCAAUAGAUCCCCCUAAUAUAAUAUAUAUAUAAGUUGCCGCCUUUCCCCUCUUUACGGUCUCAUUUAUAUAUCGUAGGCGGCUAGGGGAGAGGCGGCCACAAUGGUGGUUAAUG